rnacentral:rRNA from 1 species
GCAUAUCAAUAAGCGGAGGGAAAAAAGAAAACUAACAAGGAUUCCCCUAGUAACUGCGAAGUGAAGCGGGAAAAGCUCAAAUUUAAAAUCUGGUGGUCUCUGGCCAUCCGAGUUGUAAUCUAGAGAAGUGUUAUCCGCGCUGGACCGUGUACAAGUCUUCUGGAAUGGAGCGUCAUAGAGGGUGAGAAUCCCGUCUUUGAUACGGACUGCCAGGGCUUUGUGAUGCGCUCUCAAAGAGUCGAGUUGUUUGGGAAUGCAGCUCAAAAUGGGUGGUAAAUUCCAUCUAAAGCUAAAUAUUGGCGAGAGACCGAUAGCGAACAAGUACCGUGAGGGAAAGAUGAAAAGAACUUUGGAAAGAGAGUUAAACAGUACGUGAAAUUGCUGAAAGGGAAACGCUUGAAGUCAGUCGCGUUGUCUGGGGAUCAACCUUACUUUUGUUGGGCGUACUUUCCAGAUGACGGGUCAGCAUCAAUUUUGACCGUUGGAUAAAGUCUAGAGGAAUGUGGCAUCUUCGGAUGUGUUAUAGCCUUUGGUCGCAUACAACGGUUGGGAUUGAGGAACUCAGCACGCCGAAAGGCCGGGUACUUGUACCACGUUCGUGCUUAGGAUGCUGGCAUAAUGGCUUUAAUCGACCCGUCUUGAAACACGGACCAAGGAGUCUAACAUGCCUGCGAGUAUUUGGGUGGAAAACCCGAGUGCGUAAUGAAAGUGAAAGUUGAGAUCCUCGUCAUGGGGAGCAUCGACGCCCGGACCAGACCUUUUUGUGACGGAUCUGCGGUAGAGCAUGUAUGUUGGGACCCGAAAGAUGGUGAACUAUGCCUGAAUAGGGUGAAGCCAGAGGAAACUCUGGUGGAGGCUCGUAGCGAUUUCUGACGUGCAAAUCGAUUCGUCAAAUUUGGGUAUAGGG